CAGCAGCCGCGGGAAUACGGAGGGUGCAAGCGUUAAUCGGAAUUACUGGGCGUAAAGCGCACGCAGGCGGUCUGACAAGUCAGAUGUGAAAUCCCCGGGCUUAACCUGGGAACUGCAUUUGAAACUGUCAGGCUGGAGUCUUGUAGAGGGGGGUGGAAUUCCAGGAGUAGCGGUGAAAUGCGUAGAGAUCUGGAGGAAUACCGGUGGCGAAGGCGGCCCCCUGGACAAAGACUGACGCUCAGGUGCGAAAGCGUGGGGAGCAAACAGGAUUAGAGACCCCUGUAGUCCCUGUCUCUUAUAC
rnacentral:rRNA from 1 species